CUUUCUUGAAUGCUGCAGUUCCUGAUCUUGGGACAGGCGCUGGGCUUCACGCUUCUGAAAGACUGGAUGAAGGGACAAAAGACAAGAGAGACUGCCUGAUCUCCAGCCAGCACAGCCACCCCAGAAGCAGUAUGGCACAAGUGGUGCGUGUCAGAUCACAUCCCACCAUGACUAUGCUAGGCACCUCCAAAGGGCACGGAGUCAUCAGUCUGAAUCUCUAUCUGCUCCAACACACAAACGCCAAUUUCAGCACCAAGUAACAAGGAUGAUACUUCCUUGGUUCUAACUGGACUUGGGUCACAGGUAACACUCCCUGAACAACCUCCAGUACAAAUCUCAGCUUCUAGGUUCUGGGGGAUAUAUUUUCCCCCAGAUAACCUCAGUCAUGGAUUCUUCUCUUUCAUGUAGGCUGCAACUCUCUAAUACAUUGCUGGCAAAGUUUCACAGUGUUUGCAAGCACGUGAUAAUGUUUUGGUGUAACCAAGUCACUUGUAAGGUGAGUGACAGGUUACACAUGAAUGCACUAAUGUCUUUCUCAUCUGGUCUGCUCACUAACUCUUGGCCCUGAUUACAUAUGCUGGUUUAUGCGCUUAAGUGGUUAUACUACCAUAAUAUUCAACUUUUGUGUUUCAAAACAAUGGAGUGCAUAUCAAGCUAUUGCACACAUUGAUUUUAUAAGGCACCUUUAGCUAUCGCUAGGACACAGCAGAGCUGUAACAAAUGUCUUAGAAGUACUUUGAACCCAGACAAAAGUGUAUUUUACAAGGUGUGUCUUCUCUCUCACUUUUUGUUUUCUUCCUUCUAUUCUAAGGUCACAGAAUUGUAGGAGUUGGGAUGGACCUCCAGAGAUCAUCGAGGCCAACCCCCCUGCCAAAGCAGGUUCCCUACACCAGGUCACACAGGUAGGCGUCCAGGUGAUAAGCUUUGACUCCUGAAAUAUUACAGAAAACCAGCAGGUUUACCUUAAUACAUCUGGUCUUGCUGUAGGAAACGGCAUCAGGAAUAGGAAACUACUAUCAGGAAUAAUAGUGUAGUUCAAUGAUUUACCUUGUCAUAUUAUCAAUACACAGAGUUUCAAGCAACCAGGGUCCCUACCUCUGUUUUAGAAGACGUGUUUUCUAUGCUAUGUGCCUCAUACCCAAGUCAGCCUCCUGUGCACUGAUACAUCCUUGGCAUAGGUCCUAUCUCCACACUAAAUCCACAGUGGUUGUUCUUCAGAAGCAUCAGACUUAGUCCUAUGUCAGAUUUCAGGUCACACAUUGGACCCCGAUACAGGUCCAGCUCCUCAGCUCUUGCGAAAGGGGGAAGAAGGGUGCAAUACUCCUCUCUGGGGGCUGUGCCAGGACCAAGCCAAGUAUCAGCUUCCAUAUAUUUGGCAGGAGUUGCAUUAGACAAGGUGGAUGAUGCCCAUGCCAGAACUGUGUCCAUAGUCAGUGGAGGUACCCACAUGUAAGAGGGCAGGUGGGCUCUGCUCUGCACAGAAGGACUGAAGCCACAUGAGAACUUGUCUACAAAUGGGAGCUGUAUGUACAAGCUCAGUUGUUUACUUCAAGCAUAUGGACAACACCUGGCUUCCAGUCCUUCAGUAGAGAAGGGAAGAAUGUGGCCAUAACAACACACUAAAGAGUUUCCUAGUCAGGGACCCUAAAGCAAACACAAUUCAUAACCCCUCCGACAAAUCUCUUUCACCCUGCACUGCAGCUUUCUCUAGGAAAAAACUCUUCAUCAUCUGUCUUGCUUGCAUUCUUUUAUUCUCUGUUGGGCAGAACACAGAGCAAUCAUUUUGCUGCUCUGAAGAGCACCUGCUAACCUGAAAUUAUUCCAGCUGGGAGUAAGCACUGGCAUCUGAUUGCAAAAACAAUCAAAUGGUGUUUUAUUAUUUCAAGAAGCAGUGCCUGCUUCUGAGCAUGCAGACAGUGUCAGCAACACUGCAGAGCUUUUCAAAACUCUGACUCUGUCUGGGAGAUCUGUGCCAAGCCUGCAAGAUGUGUAAUGCUGUUACAUCAGCUCUCCCCGUCUUGGAGAAUCAGCACAUUCUUCAUGUUAGUCAACCUCAUCACCUAACAAAUCAUCUGAAGGAAAGGCCCCUUGAGCAUGUUUUGCUGUAGAAGAGCAACACGAUCUCAUUUCUCUUUUAUUUAGAUUAAAACUAUUCUCAGUAGGAAAAGAGAAAUCCCACCUACAGCUGGAACACUGCCUGCCAUCACUGCCAGCCAGGGUUAACCUGAAAGCAAUUUGUAAACACCAUUCCUAAAUGGGUCCUGCAAAAUGGAUUAAUCAGUAAAUGAUAACUGUCCACCUUCACACACCAUUUUUUCCCUUACAGCACCUCUCUUCUCCUUUUCACACGUUCACAAACACCCUGAGCAGACCUUUCCUACCCUGGGAUAUCUCCUCAGUGUGCCAGAGCUUGUGUUUAGGGAUGGGAGUGACAUCCCAGCUGGUAGCAGUGCUCACGUGUCCAUUAGGCAGGGCGACCUGCCAACACUGCAUCUAAACACACUUUGGGUUUUACUCGGAGCCACAGCGGCAAAAAGCACUCCCUGCUGUGCUGCCUGCAGCACUGGGGCUCGUCUUGCCUAAUGCCAAAAGGCUCCUGUUUCAGGGACCACACUCUGCACACGUUGCCUGCCCUUGCUGCAGCAUUGCCUUCCCAUGUCACGUUCACAGACAACUGACGACACAUGCCAGAAUACUAACAGUUGCAGCCAAACUCUUCCUACAGUCUCCCUCCCAGCUGCAAGCAACUUUCAGGCAAGAUAAGAUGUUUAUUUGUCUAUCCUACGUAUGGUAGACUGAUUGAAGUGUUUCAUAUGACAUCAAUCCUGAUCAACAAACUUGCCCCAACAGCAUGUGAAUUACUCAUAAAGUUCUACUUAUUCUAAUUUCCUGGAGAACUUUACAUGAGACAAUUGACAAGAUGCUAUAUAGCCUUCUAGCUGUCUAGAAACCAAAGUGAAACAGAGAGUUCAGAGUUCUACACCAGCAAUCAAAACAUAAUCAGGGUUGGAGAUUAGUAUCAAGACAACCGCGACCGCUCAACAAGAACUGCAGAAGCCUGUUUUCUUAAGCAGUGUUCCCCUGCUCCAUGUACCAACAUCCCUAGACCGGUGGUUUUACUGCUUCUGAACCCCAACAGGUGACUCUCACAAACAUGCUCUGGCUGGCUGCAGGUAUGGCAAGCCAGGUUUUACACUCACAUAAAACAGGAUCUAAGGCCAAAGUGUGGGGCCUCUCACACCCAGCAUCAAGGGAAGAAGGAAUCAGGUUUCCAGAUAUGCCCAUGGUAGAGGUAGCAGCAGGUUUGAGCCCAGCCACUUUCAGGGCUAUCUAGAGUUGUGCGUAUGUUGAUCAAGAGGACAUGGUGGUCUUUUUGUACAGGGUUUGGAAAUGGCUACUCUAAAGAACCUGAAGGUCACGGUAACUGCUGAGCAAAUUUAACCCCAAAGAACUCCGACUAAAGAAUCAUGAAGCCAAGCACAGGAUGAUCAUGACAGGGGCAGCAAGGGCAAGAGGGCAGCUACAUCCCCUGCAUUGAUUCUCUUGCCCAUCACCAGCAGCAGCAGCAGCAGUGGAAAAUCACUUAUUCUAGUGCUGCACAGUGUCAAUCUACAUCUUGCAGACUGAAUUCAUGAGUUUCACAAAGUCAAAUAAUGCGUAGUAGCAGUUCAUUUUUUUCAUGCGCUGGAUAAACCUGAGUCAUUCAACAGAUAUACUUCACUUCCAGUGUUGCCUCAGGAAACAGACUGUUAGUGUGGUGUGAAGGAGGCAAGAGAAAGUUGCAUGACAGUUUCUGAAUAUGGCACUUGCAGCCAUA